rnacentral:tRNA from 1 species
UCCUCCUUAGCUCAGUUGGUAGAGCGCGUCACUCGUAUGAAGUUGAGAUGACGAGGUCAGUCGUUCAAGUCGGCUAGGGGGAA